rnacentral:rRNA from 1 species
GAUUGAACGCUGGCGGCAGGCCUAACACAUGCAAGUCGAGCGGUAGCACAGAGAGCUUGCUCUCGGGUGACGAGCGGCGGACGGGUGAGUAAUGUCUGGGAAACUGCCUGAUGGAGGGGGAUAACUACUGGAAACGGUAGCUAAUACCGCAUAACGUCGCAAGACCAAAGUGGGGGACCUUCGGGCCUCAUGCCAUCAGAUGUGCCCAGAUGGGAUUAGCUAGUAGGUGGGGUAACGGCUCACCUAGGCGACGAUCCCUAGCUGGUCUGAGAGGAUGACCAGCCACACUGGAACUGAGACACGGUCCAGACUCCUACGGGAGGCAGCAGUGGGGAAUAUUGCACAAUGGGCGCAAGCCUGAUGCAGCCAUGCCGCGUGUGUGAAGAAGGCCUUCGGGUUGUAAAGCACUUUCAGCGGGGAGGAAGGCGUUAAGGUUAAUAACCUUGUCGAUUGACGUUACCCGCAGAAGAAGCACCGGCUAACUCCGUGCCAGCAGCCGCGGUAAUACGGAGGGUGCAAGCGUUAAUCGGAAUUACUGGGCGUAAAGCGCACGCAGGCGGUCUGUCAAGUCGGAUGUGAAAUCCCCGGGCUCAACCUGGGAACUGCAUUCGAAACUGGCAGGCUAGAGUCUUGUAGAGGGGGGUAGAAUUCCAGGUGUAGCGGUGAAAUGCGUAGAGAUCUGGAGGAAUACCGGUGGCGAAGGCGG